rfam:Corynebacterium doosanense CAT 212 = DSM 45436, complete genome.
AGCUUUUUCGCGGCGGAGCUCGACCGCCCACACAAGUGAUCGUGCGAUUCAUCGACGACAACCGUGCCCAGUUCGGGGUCGAGCCCAUCAUCGGUGUCCUGGCUACCACCAGCGCGAAGAUAGCCCUG